CCCCUGCGCUUUUUUCCAUUAAAAUCUUGUAAAACCCUUUCUCCAGACAGCACAUUCUCUAGCUCCCUCUACUCAUCACCCUCGCAUUUUUAAAACGCACCCUCACCCCUUUGGAAAUCGCACACUUCCUCCUUCUCUUCUUUCUUCUCCCUUCUCCCUCUUUCUUGCUCUUCCUUUACUCUCUUCUAACCAAGAGAUGCAGAGAGACCGAGCAAGAGAGUGAGAGACCGUGAGAUUGAGAGAAAUAAGAGGGAGAGAUCGUGAUAGAGAGGAGACCAAGAGAGAGACAUCGAAGGAUUGAGAGAGGAAAGAGAUAGAGAGAGGGAGACUUGAGAGAGAGAGAGAGUGAACCCGUGUGCAGAGCCGACGAACAGAGACCCGAUCGGAAGCCGAUUUUCCAGUGGACCCGUGAGCUGAACCCAUCAGACCCGAACGAUCCAGUGACCUGGGGCCCGACUUUUGGCGAGGCAAAGACGAUCCGGAGGAAUCAGAAGCGAUUCUGGCUACCUGAACAGAGACACGGUGAGAGGGAAGACCGAUCUUCCUGUGGGUGGUGCUGACCGGCGCUGUGGUUUAUUUUGGAUGUAAUAUUCGGUGGGUCUUCAGUAAGAGGAAUUCCGGGGGUUUCAAAGCAUUGUUCGGCGAUGCUUGUGAAGAUCGGUGCUAUCACCGAUUUGGUGAUUUCCUCGGUAGAUUUUCUGCAGUUAAACAGAAAAUCCGUAAGCCCAUUAUGCAGGUACGAAAGAGUAUAAAGCCCAAGGAUUGGAUUUUAUUAGCACUGAAGAGUUAGAACUGUUUAUUAAUGUAGCUAAUAAUUGUAGUGAUUUCUUUGUAUCAAUUUGGAAUGUAAUAUUUUAAUUACAUUUGUCAUUCAGUAAACUCUGAUGUAUCUUUUUAAAGAAAAUAAAUAUAUUCCGCU